AGGUAAUCAUCGAGAUGCAUGGACAUUCGGUGCUGUUGAUCCAAACAGUUUUACUGCAGCCUUAUUAGAGCUUACAGAACGGCUAGGAAAGCUACAGAAACAAGGAUGGAGACCUAGACGAACCAUCGUUUUCUGCAGUUGGGAUGCCGAGGAAUAUGGAUUGAUAGGAUCAACAGAAUGGGUUGAAGAAAACAGGGAAACCUUAAUUUCGAGAGCAGUUGCUUACCUUAAUGUUGAUGUUGCAGUUUAUGGAAAAGGGUUUCAUGCUUCCUCAACUCCACAGUUAGAUGAACUUAUUCUACAGGCUUCUCA